AUUGAACCUCUUUAACUACUGCUUAUUCUGUUAAUAAUAGGCCUUUGUGAAGCCACGCAGGAUUACCCGAGCGGUCUAAGGCGUUGCAGUCAUGGACUAUGAGGCCAAUCUCGGCAGAGGUUCGAGUCCUCCCUUGGGCAUGGAUGGAAUGCUACAGAGCCUGAUUCAGAAGUAUGAAAUGGACAUGGAAAGUAAUUUUACAUGUUGUGGACCUUGCUGUGGUAAAUGCAUUGAACCAAUACAUGAGAACUAUCGAAGGGAAUAAUAUUCCAAGAAAAGAACAGAAAGAUUUGCUACACUACAAAUUAGAGGUAGCAGAAGGACUGCUUGCAGUUCCACCUGACGUUAGAAGGGUAUUAAGUGACAGUGAACAAGAAGGAGAUGCACUUCCUGCAGCCAAAAGGUCUAAAUUCUUUAAUCAACCUGCAAAGCUUCCAUACAGUGACAAGCGCUGUGAUGGAUAUAAACAUUUUCCAAUUUCUGAUGAUAUUCCAGCACCACACAUUUGCAGAUACGAGCCAUGCAAAAGUCGCAGCAAAAUGCGGUGCGAAAAGUGUAACGUAUACUUGUGCCUGUCGAAGGACAAGACAUGUUUUAAGGACUUUCAUGUUCCUCCCAAACAGAAACAAAGAAGACAAACAUUCAUUUAAAACAGCUGCAACAAGAGUUUUGUACAUUUCUGUAUAGUUUUA